rnacentral:rRNA from 1 species
ACUCCUACGGGAGGCAGCAGUAGGGAAUCUUCCACAAUGGACGAAAGUCUGAUGGAGCAACGCCGCGUGAGUGAAGGAGGGUUUCGGCUCGUAAAACUCUGUUGUUAAAGAAGAACAUAUCUGAGAGUAACUGUUCAGGUAUUGACGGUAUUUAACCAGAAAGCCACGGCUAACUACGUGCCAGCAGCCGCGGUAAUACGUAGGCGGCAAGCGUUGUCCGGAUUUAUUGGGCGUAAAAGCGAGCGCAGGUCGGUUUUAAGUCUGAUGUGAAAGCCUUCGGCUCAACCGAAGAAGUGCAUCGGAAACUGGGAAACUUGAGUGCAGAAGAGGACAGUGGAACUCCAAUGUGUAGCGGUGAAAUGCGUAGAUAUAUGGAAGAACACCAGUGGCGAAGGCGGCUGUCUGGUCUGUAACUGACGCUGAGGCUCGAAAGUAUGGGUAGCAAACAGGAUUAGAUACCCCUGGUAGGAUAGCG